rnacentral:rRNA from 1 species
UACGAAGGGGGCCAGCGUUGUUCGGAAUUACUGGGUGUAAAGGGUUCGUAGGCGGUGUGGCAAGUCGGGAGUGAAAUUUCUGGGCUCAACUCAGAGACUGCUUCCGAAACUGCUGUGCUUGAGUGUGGGAGAGGCGCGUGGAAUUGCAGGUGUAGCGGUGAAAUGCGUAGAUAUCUGCAGGAACACCCGUGGCGAAAGCGGCGCGCUGGACCACUACUGACGCUGAGGAACGAAAGCUAGGGGAGCAAACAGG